AUACGGAGGGUACGAGCGUUGUUCGGAAUUACUGGGCGUAAAGCGCGUGUAGGCGGCCGUAAAAGUCGGGUGUGAAAUCCCGGGGCUCAACCCCGGAACUGCACCCGAAACUAUAUGGCUAGAGUCCCGGAGGGGGUGGCGGAAUUUCCGGUGUAGAGGUGAAAUUCGUAGAUAUCGGAAGGAACACCAGUGGCGAAGGCGGCCACCUGGACGGUGACUGACGCUGAGAUGCGAAAGCGUGGGGAGCAAACAGGAUUAGAAACCCCGGUAGUCC
rnacentral:rRNA from 1 species